CACGUAGGGGCCAAGCGUUGUCCGGAUUUAUUGGGCGUAAAGAGCUCGUAGGCGGUUCGACAAGUCGGGUGUGAAAACUCCGGGCUCAACCCGGAGACGCCACCCGAUACUGUCGUGACUGGAGUCCGGUAGGGGAGUGGGGAAUUCCUGGUGUAGCGGUGAAAUGCGCAGAUAUCAGGAGGAACACCGGUGGCGAAGGCGGUGGUCUGGGCCGGUACUGACGCUGAGGAGCGAAAGCGUGGGGAGCAAACAGG
rnacentral:rRNA from 1 species